AGGCCCGUAGCUCCAACGGCAGAGCAGCGGUCUCCAAAACCGAAGGGUGGGGGUUCGAAUCCCUCCGGGCCUGCCA
rnacentral:tRNA from 1 species